CUUCCCGAGAGCGGAGCCGACCCCCGCGGGGCGGGGCGGGGCGGGGCGGGGCGCGGCGGGGGAGCUGGGAAGGCCGGCCGGGGAGGCGGCGGAGCCCGUGCUCCCGCCCCAGCUCCUCUCCCGCAGCAGCCGUGCCGCCCCCGCCCCCCCGGUCUCGGACCCUGCACGCGGGUGGCGAGGGGGCAGCGCGGGCGCGGCGGCGGCCGGGCUCCCAAGUCACGUUCGUUCGCUGCUGCUUUCCCAUCCCCUGCCUCCUCGCCCCUCCUCCCCUCCUCCCUCACCCCAGCCGGCUCCGGAGGCGAUUCCCCUCUAGUGACUGAGACGAUCGCAUCUGGGCGAGCGGCGCUUCGCCUCGCUCGCGUCUUUGUCUCCUCCUCCUCCUCCUCCUGCGAGGCUCUGGGGCCGCGCGCAGGGUCUGCAGCAGCCGCCGCAGCCGCCGGAGCCCAGCGGGGCUCUGCACGGCCGCCCGGGGCCGCACCCUCGCUCGGCGGAGGCGCCGGAGGACGCCGGCGAGCCCCGCGAGCCCCCGCGAGCCCCCGCGAGCCAGCCCCGCACCGCCCGCGUCCCGCGCUCCGCCGCCGCCGCGACCCGGCACGAGCCCUCCCGGCCGGGGCUUGGGGUGGGCGGCCCGGCCCGGCCAGCCGCGGGGUGGGGAGCGCGGCCGCCGCAGUUCUGGCAGCUGCACACCCCCAGGCAGACGCAUCCAACGCCUCCUCCCUGCGCCAGGAGGAUGGAGCAGCCGCCCCGGCCCGGGACUGGCGCAAGAAGGGUUUUACAUCCUCCUUGUCCUCUACGGGGUUCUCUUCUCCACUCCUAACUCAAGAGGCUCAAAGUUGUGCCUGGCAUCCUCAGUCAGGACUCCAUAUUUGAAAUCUCUGGCCCUUCCUUGACCGCUAACCCUCUCCAGCCAGAUACGUGGAAGAGAAACAAGGUAUACUUUAUGGAUGAUUGAGAAACUGGAAUUAGAAACCAGACACCAGUUUACCACCUA
rnacentral:lncRNA from 1 species